rnacentral:rRNA from 1 species
UACGUAGGGUGCAAGCGUUGUCCGGAAUUAUUGGGCGUAAAGAGCUCGUAGGCGGUCUGUUACGUCUGCUGUGAAAACCUGGGGCUCAACUCCGGGCCUGCAGCCGAUACGGGCAGACUAGAGUUCGGCAGGGGAGACUGGAAUUCCUGGUGUAGCGGUGAAAUGCGCAGAUAUCAGGAGGAACACCGGUGGCGAAGGCGGGUCUCUGGGCCGAAACUGACGCUGAGGAGCGAAAGCGUGGGGAGCAAACAGG